UUCAGCAACGACUGUGCUGAUCAAUCAACAGACAUCCAUGAGGCAAGAUCCACCAGAAACAGAAACAGACUAGGACUCGCUGAAAGCUCAGCUGAUUGUUAACAAUGUUUAGCAAUAACGUAUUUUAAAUCAAGGAAUAAUGAGACAUCAAUCCACAAAUUUAAGAAGUCUAAUUAAUAUCAAUCAAGAUUUUUGAAAAGAAACAAUAAAUAAAUCCACAUAUAAGCACAUCAUAGUAAAGACUGAAGAACACCAGGAGCAAUGAUAAAUUUCCAGACACAACCAGGAGAGAAAAGACAAUGACUGGAAAUAAACAGCAUUUAUUCUAUCGACUGAUUUCCCAACAGCGCAAAUGGAAGUCAGAAGAAAAGGAACUAUACAGGCUACAUGCUGACAGAAAAUGAAUCAAGACAGCACUCAAUCUCCGACCUUUUUCCUCAUGUAUUAGACAAAAACACAUAUUUUUUUAGACAAAUAGGAUGAGAGAAAUUAGCAUCUUUAUUCAAUAAAGGAAAUUUAUUAUUU